rnacentral:misc_RNA from 1 species
GAAAUGCGAUAAGUAGUGUGAAUUGCAGAAUUCAGUGAAUCAUCGAAUCUUUGAACGCACAUCGCGCUUCUCGAGGGCGGCUCCGGCACGCGACCCACGAAAGAUGACCACCGUCUUUGACCUCGGAUCAGGUAGGGAUACCCGCUGAACUUAA